UGGGGAAUAUUGCACAAUGGGCGCAAGCCUGAUGCAGCCAUGCCGCGUGUAUGAAGAAGGCCUUCGGGUUGUAAAGUACUUUCAGCGAGGAGGAAGGUGUUGUGGUUAAUAACCGCAGCAAUUGACGUUACUCGCAGAAGAAGCACCGGCUAACUCCGUGCCAGCAGCCGCGGUAAUACGGAGGGUGCAAGCGUUAAUCGGAAUUACUGGGCGUAAAGCGCACGCAGGCGGUCUGUCAAGUCGAUGUGAAUACCCCCGGGCUCAACCUGGGAACUGCAUCCGAAACUGGCAGGCUAGAGUCUUGUAGAGGGGU
rnacentral:rRNA from 1 species